GGUCAAGUUAUUAAGGGUGCAGGGCGGAUGCCUUGGCACUAGGAGCCGAUGAAGGACGUGAUAAGCUGCGAUAAGCUUCGGGGAGUUGCACGUAAACUUUGAUCCGAAGAUUUCCGAAUGAGGAAACUCACUUAGAGUAAUGUCUAAGUAUCAUUAAGUGAAUACAUAGCUUAAUGAGGGGAACUCAGGGAACUGAAACAUCUAAGUACCUGAAGGAAGAGAAAGAAAUUCGAUUCCGUAAGUAGCGGCGAGCGAACGCGGAUUAGCCCAAACCAAUAAAGUUUUCUUUAUUGGGGUUGCGGACAUAUCAUAACGAAGAGGUAUCGUAAUUGAAGAGGUUUGGAAAGACCCACCACAGAAGGUAAUAGUCCUGUAUGUUAAACGAGAAGACUUCAGAUAUGAUCCAGAGUACCACGGGACACGUGAAACCCUGUGGGAAGCAGGAGGGACCACCCUCCAAGGCUAAAUACUACCUAGUGACCGAUAGCGUAUAGUACCGUGAGGGAAAGGUGAAAAGAACC
rnacentral:rRNA from 1 species